rnacentral:rRNA from 1 species
AGUGAACGCUGGCGGCAGGCCUAACACAUGCAAGUCGAACGGCAGCACAGGAGAGCUUGCUCUCUGGGUGGCGAGUGGCGGACGGGUGAGGAAUACAUCGGAAUCUACUCUGUCGUGGGGGAUAACGUAGGGAAACUUACGCUAAUACCGCAUACGACCUACGGGUGAAAGCAGGGGACCUUCGGGCCUUGCGCGAUUGAAUGAGCCGAUGUCGGAUUAGCUAGUUGGCGGGGUAAAGGCCCACCAAGGCGACGAUCCGUAGCUGGUCUGAGAGGAUGGUCAGCCACACUGGAACUGAGACACGGUCCAGACUCCUACGGGAGGCAGCAGUGGGGAAUAUUGGACAAUGGGCGCAAGCCUGAUCCAGCCAUACCGCGUGGGUGAAGAAGGCCUUCGGGUUGUAAAGCCCUUUUGUUGGGAAAGAAAUCCAGCUGGCUAAUACCCGGUUGGGAUGACGGUACCCAAAGAAUAAGCACCGGCUAACUUCGUGCCAGCCGCCGCGGUAA